AGAAUGAACGCUGGCGGCGUGGUUAAGACAUGCAAGUCGAACGGUGUUUCAGAUGUAGCAAUACAUUUGAAACGCAGUGGCGAACGGGUGCGUAACACGUGAACAAUUUACCUUUUAGUGUGGAAUAGCUCGACGAAAGUCGGAUUAAUACCGCAUGUGGUUGUCUCUCUCCUGAGAGGCAUACUAAAGCCAGGGACCGCAAGGCCUGGCGCUAUUAGAGGAGUUCGCGGCCUAUCAGCUAGUUGGCGAGGUAACGGCUCACCAAGGCUAAGACGGGUAGCUGAUCUGAGGGGAUGAUCAGCCACACUGGAACUGAGACACGGUCCAGACACCUACGGGUGCAGCAGUUUCGAAUCAUUCACAAUGGGC
rnacentral:rRNA from 1 species